rnacentral:piRNA from 1 species
UGUGAAACACAACAUAGGAGGCUUCUCAUG